CUCAGCUGUAGUUCUUGGAACGAAUGGAAACAGACAGCACCCAGGACCCAGUAGGACUGGCCUGUGCUUCUUGGAUACUUGGGUUCAGGGUCUCCUCCCCAGCGGUCUCUAACAGCUGAGGUAGGGACGACUCACCGUCCCGGUCCCCAAAUGCAGUGCUUUAAACUCAGAGACCCUUUCUUCGGGCCGCAAGGCUGGACCAGGGCUCUCACUACCCGGGUGGGAAGACUGUAUGAUGUUUGGGCCUUGCCAGCCCCAAGGAAGAGUCAGAUCUCUAAACCUGGGGGCCUCCUGGGAAAGCCAGGACUCCAGCACUGUGGAAAGAGCAUGGAGGUAGAAGUCAGAAGGACCUGGGUUCAAAUCCCACUUUUGCCCAGGCAUAGGGGCUCAUGCCUGUAAUCCAAGCACUUUGGAAGGCUGAGGCAGGUGAAUCACUAGAGUCCGGAAAUUUGAGACCAGCAUGAGCAACCUGGAGAAACCCUGUCUCUACUAAAAAAAAAAAAAAAAAAAAAACCAGCUGUGCAUGGUGGCAUGCAUCUGUAGUCCCAGCUACUCAGGAGACUGAGGUGGGAAGAUCACUUGAGCCUGGAAAGUCAAGGCUGUAGUGAGCUGUGAUUGCACCACUGUACUCCAGCCUCGGCCACAGAAUGAGACCCUGUCUUACAAAAACAAACAAACAAACAAACAAAAAUCUCACUUUGUCAUUUCCUAGUUCAAAAACCUUAGUCAAAUGGCUGCUCCGUUUCCUUAUCUGUAGAGGCGGGACCGGCGUCUUGGGCCUACUGUGGAGAUUAAAUGAGCACUGAGUAUGUGCCCAGCCCUGGGCUAAGAGCUUUACACAAACGACCCCAUGGGCUUCUCACAAUAACUCUCUGGAAUGGGUACAGGCCCCAUUUUGCAGAAGAGGAAACUGAGGCCCAGAGAGAUGGCAUGACUUGCCCAUGGUCACUCAGCUGGGAACUAGUAGAGCCAGGAUUUGAACCAGGCAGUCUGACUUCAAAAGCAGCAGCAUGAG
rnacentral:lncRNA from 1 species